rnacentral:rRNA from 1 species
GAGGCGUGGCUUCCGGAGCUAACGCGUUAAGUCGACCGCCUGGGGAGUACGGCCGCAAGGUUAAAACUCAAAUGAAUUGACGGGGGCCCGCACAAGCGGUGGAGCAUGUGGUUUAAUUCGAUGCAACGCGAAGAACCUUACCUACUCUUGACAUCCAGAGAACUUUCCAGAGAUGGAUUGGUGCCUUCGGGAACUCUGAGACAGGUGCUGCAUGGCUGUCGUCAGCUCGUGUUGUGAAAUGUUGGGUUAAGUCCCGCAACGAGCGCAACCCUUAUCCUUUGUUGCCAGCGGUUAGGCCGGGAACUCAAAGGAGACUGCCAGUGAUAAACUGGAGGAAGGUGGGGAUGACGUCAAGUCAUCAUGGCCCUUACGAGUAGGGCUACACACGUGCUACAAUGGCGCAUACAAAGAGAAGCGACCUCGCGAGAGCAAGCGGACCUCAUAAAGUGCGUCGUAGUCCGGAUUGGAGUCUGCAACUCGACUCCAUGAAGUCGGAAUCGCUAGUAAUCGUAGAUCAGAAUGCUACGGUGAAUACGUUCCCGGGCCUUGUACACACCGCCCGUCACACCAUGGGAGUGGGUUGCAAAAGAAGUA